AAGGGUCAGAUAUGAAUGGUAUAUAUAGUGUUUUUUAAACCUGACUUGUUUCAUGUCCACUGAGCCUGGAGAUGGUGGUGUGUCUAGGGUUGGGGUUAGGAGAUGAUGGUGUGUCUCGGGUCAGGGUUUAGAGAUGAGGGUGUGUCUAGGGUUAGGGAGAUGAUGGUGUGUCUAGGGUGAGGGAGAUGAUGGUGUGUCUAGGGUUAGUGUUAGGAGAUGAUGGUGUGUGUAGGGUUAGGGAGAUGAUGGUGUGUCUAGGGUUAGUGAGAUGAUGGUGUGUCUAGGGUUAGUGAGGGAGAUGUUGGUGUGUCUAGGGUUAGUAUUAGGGUUAGAGAGAUGAUGGUGUGUCUAGGGUUAGUAUUAGAGUGAGGGAGAUGAUGGUGUGUCUAGGGUUACGGAGAUGAUGGUGUGUCUAGGGUUAGGAGAUGAUGGUGUGUCUAGGGUUAGUGUUAGGAGAUGAAGGUGUGUCUAGGGUUAGUGUUAGGAGAUGAAGGUGUGUCUAGGGUUAGGGUGAGGGAGAUGAUGGUGUGUCUAGGGUUGGGGAGAUGAUGGUGUGUCUAGGGUUACGGAGAUGAUGGUGUGUCUAGGGUUGGGGAGAUGAUGGUGUGUCUAGGGUUACGGAGAUGAUGGUGUGUCUAGGGUUAGGGAGAUGAUGGUGUGUCUAGGGUUACGGAGAUGAUGGUGUGUCUAGGGUUGGGGUGAGGGAGAUGAUGGUGUGUCUAGGGUUAGUAUUAGAGUGAGGGAGAUGAUGGUGUGUCUAGUGUUAGGGAGAUGAUGGUGUGUCUAGGGUUAGGAGAUGAUAAUGUGUCUAGGGUUAGUGUGAGGAGAUGAUGGUGUGUCUAGGGUUACGGAGAUGAUGGUGUGUCUAGGGUCAGGGUGUGUGUGUGAGGGUAAGGGAGAUGAUGGUGUGUCUAGCCACCCAAACAAUAAGGAAGACUCUGAGCCCUGUCCUACUCUGACUGAUCCUUUUAUAUUCACUGAAAAUGUCCUGGCACUAAUAAAAUAUACAUAUUAAGAGGGUUAAUGGAGAUGUUCCUCAAACAAGAUACCCCGAGCGACACAUCAAUUAUUCUUUCAAAGUUCCACUACAGCAGCUGAGAUACCCAGCAACACACACUUCCGUAUCACCCUCACACACUUCCGUAUCACCCUCACACACUUCUGUAUCACAACACAACCUUCCAUAUCCCUCUCACACACUUCCAUAUACCUCUCACACACUUCUUUAUCACAACACACACUUCCACAUCACCCUCACACACUUCCAUAUCCCUCUCACACACUUCCAUAUACUGUAUCACAACACACACUUCCAUAUCACCCUCACACACUUCCAUAUCACCCUCACACACUUCCAUAUCACCCUCUCAAAAUCACUCACAAACUGGACGUGUGUCCAUAGCUGUCCAUUGUGGAGUAAUUACAGUGAAACAAAGGGAUCGGUUGUGUAUAUUGCAUUAUUACGUGUAAAUGUCACCCAAAAGUCUUGGCAGUAUAUGCAGUAUAUGCUUGCCUACAGAGUGCUUACUGGUUCUGCUCCCACCUACCUAAAUGCUCUUGUAAGGGCAAAUGUUACACCCAGGACGCUGCGCUCGUCUAGUGAUCGUCGUUUGGCACUGCCGUCCGUGCGAGCACGGCAAUCCAGACUAUUUUCAUUUGUAGUUCCACGUUGGUGGAACGAACUGCCUAGUACUACCAGAGCAGGGGCGUCCCUCUCUACCUUCAAGAAGCUUUUGAAGACCCAACUCUUCAGAGAGCACCUCCCCUCCUAACUGGCACCCGACUAGCGCUUAACUUGCACUUCAGCAGUUAUAUUCCUGCACUUCUUUUUCCUCUUUUCUAGGUUGUUGUUUUUUCUAAUUCUCAUGUAAAGUAGUAUUUAUUGUUACACCAUGCUUUUUUAUUGCUCUUAGCUUGACUGUUCUCUCCCUUGUACGUCGCUUUGGACAAAAGCGUCUGCUAAAUGACUAAAUGUAAAUGUAAAUGUAAAUAUGGGGUUGGAUUAUCAGUGGGGGUAACAGUCCCACGAUGUGUGACGGAGCUCCAAAAAAAAAAAAAAGCUAUGGUCAGAAUAUCACCACGUGAUCCUGUGUCUGAGUCACUGGUGAUGUCUAUGCCCGUGUUGAUCUUAGAUAGGAUCUCAAGUGUUGCACCUUUGGGAAGAAUUACUGUAGUAUUGACUGAAAGAAACUCACUAAACGUGCGUGACUGCUAUGUGUUGUGGCUCUCCUCAAUCCAAUAAAAUACACGAUGGCUUCCGUUGAAGCAUGGCAGGGUUCUGUGUGGGCUUGCAGUGCUGGCGUGUUUGAGUGCAGUAGCGUGUAGCGUGUUACGGAGGGGCACAAGGUGAAUCUGUAAACCUGUUGACAAGCAUGA
ensembl:lncRNA